GACAGAGGGUGCAAACGUUGUUCGGAAUUACUGGGCGUAAAGCGCGUGUAGGCUGUCCCGCAAGUCGGGUGUGAAAGCCCUGGGCUCAACCCAGGAAGUGCACUCGAAACUGCGGGACUCGAGUCCUGGAGAGGAAGGCGGAAUUCUCGGUGUAGAGGUGAAAUUCGUAGAUAUCGAGAAGGAACACCGGUGGCGAAGGCGGCCUUCUGGACAGUGACUGACGCUGAGA
rnacentral:rRNA from 1 species